GACGAACCUUGCGAACGUUGUUCGGAAUAACUGGGCUUAAAGGGUGCGUAGGCGGGUCCGCCAGUCUGUGGUGAAAUCCUCCCGCUCAACGGGAGAACUGCCGUGGAUACUGCGGACCUCGAGGAAGAUAGGGGCGUGCGGAACAGUUGGUGGAGCGGUGAAAUGCGUUGAUAUCAACUGGAACUCCGAUGGCGAAGGCGGCACGCUGGGUCUUUUCUGACGCUGAGGCACGAAAGCUAGGGGAGCAAACAGG
rnacentral:rRNA from 1 species